rnacentral:rRNA from 1 species
UACGGGGGGGGCGAGCGUUGUUCGGAAUUAUUGGGCGUAAAGGGCGCGUAGGCGGUGCUGUAAGUCUAGUGUGAAACCUCCAGGCUCAACUUGGAGCUUGCAUUAGAAACUGCAGUGCUAGAGUGCGGGAGAGGAGAGUGGAAUUCCUGGUGUAGCGGUGAAAUGCGUAGAUAUCAGGAGGAACACCGGUGGCGAAAGCGGCUCUCUGGACCGCAACUGACGCUGAGGCGCGAAAGCUAGGGGAGCAAACAGG